CCAGUUGGCUGGGCAGCCGCGCUUUAUCAAUGCCGAAAGGCGGUAGGGUGAGGAAAGUCCGGGCUCCACGGAAACACGGUGCCGGAUAACGUCCGGCGAGGGCGACCUCAGGGAAAGUGCCACAGAAAGCAAACCGCCUGUCAUGACAGGUAAGGGUGAAAGGGUGGGGUAAGAGCCCACCGCAUCUCCGGCAACGGAAAUGGCACGGUAAACCCCACCGGGAGCAAGACCGAAUAGGGAUGACGCGGGCGGCCGAAAGGCCUUCCGGCCGGUUUCCAGGCCAGUCAUCCGGGUGGGUUGCGCGAGGCAGCGUGCGAGCGCUGUCCCAGAGGAAUGGCUGCCACGUUCCGGUUCACGCCGGAGCCAUACAGAACCCGGCUUACAGGCCAACUGGCGAU
rnacentral:RNase_P_RNA from 3 species